GAUAGAGGUGCGGUAACGGCGUGUAGACAAGAGGAGGCGGCCAACGCUGAAGAAACUUGUGGAAGAGCCUUGCCGCCGAAAAGCGAAGCGUGGCGGUUUCGGCUUUGGGGAUACGCUCAAGGAGUGUAUGACUGUCAUCAUAAAAAGUCUAUGGUGGUGCGCUAUCGUG
rnacentral:ncRNA from 1 species